UACAGAGGAUCCGAGCGUUGUCCGGAUUUAUUGGGUUUAAAGGGUGCGUAGGUGGAUUGGUAAGUCAGUGGUGAAAGUUUGCAGCUUAACUGUAAAAUUGCCGUUGAAACUGCCGGUCUUGAGUGCAAAUGAGGUAGGCGGAAUGCGUCGUGUAGCGGUGAAAUGCUUAGAUAUGACGCAGAACUCCAAUUGCGAAGGCAGCUUACUGGGAUGCAACUGACGCUGAGGCACGAAAGCGUGGGUAUCAAACAGGAUUAGA
rnacentral:rRNA from 1 species